AAUGGAGUAGGAAUUGACGCGUUAAGUGCCAGAGAGACGGAGAGUUGCUCGACGGACGAAUGCUAGUCAGCGAUGUCAGUUCCGCAUCUCGCCGUU
rnacentral:ncRNA from 1 species